CCAGCCACAUUCGCGUAUAUUGUAAUUGUAGAUGACAUAUUCAGAAAUACUUGUUCCUAUUGUUAGAAUUUUCAGAAGUAUCCUUUUCUGUUAUGAAGAAUAUUUCGGAGGUAUAACUACUUGUAUCAUCGUGUGAUUCACAUAAGUUUUUUGAUAUAUUAAUAAUAAUGGCAGAAAUUGAAUGGCCAUGGCAAUACAGUUUUCCUCCUUUUUUUACACUUCAGCCUCAUUCAGAUACUAGAGCUAAACAAUUAGCAGCAUGGAAAAGCUUAAUCCUAGAAUACUAUCGUAUAACAAAACAGUCUAUUAUAGAUAUAAGAGAAGUGCAUUCAAGCCCGUUAUUUAAUAAUACUGCAAUUAAUCGCAAAUUACCAUCAGAGGCUAUCUUAUUGGUAUUGGAAGAAUUAGCAAGAUCGGGGAAUGCAAGCCCAUUAGAUAAGACAAGACAAAGGUGGCUAAUUUAUUGGCAUACUUUGGAAGAAUGGGGUGAAAUUAUUUAUAACUGGGCACAAGAGAAUGGAUUUGUCGGUUCCGUAUGUACUUUAUUUGAGUUAACACAAGGAGAAGAUACAACAAAUCAGGAAUUUUAUGGACUUGAUACAGAAGUAUUAAUCAGAGCACUUAAAACACUGGAAGGAAAUAAGAAAGCAGAAUUAAUUUUAUUUGAUGAUAAUCAAGGUGUUAAGUUCUUUUAGACACAUAAUUGUACAAAAGAAUUGCUUUGUAAAUGUAAAUACAAAUCUUCGCUAUUUUCAAGCCUGUCGAAAUGUAAUGUCGUUCUUAUAACAGUAAACAUAUUAAAAUAUUUGCACAUGUGUGGAAGACCGUGAUAAGACUGACA